rnacentral:rRNA from 1 species
UACGUAGGGGGCGAGCGUUAUCCGGAUUCACUGGGUGUAAAGGGAGCGUAGACGGCCAUGCAAGCCAGGGGUGAAAGCCCGGGGCCCAACCCCGGGACUGCCCUUGAAACUGCAUGGCUGGAGUGCGGGAGGGGCAGGCGGAAUUCCUGGUGUAGCGGUGAAAUGCGUAGAUAUCAGGAGGAACACCGGCGGCGAAGGCGGCCUGCUGGACCGCGACUGACGUUGAGGCUCGAAAGCGUGGGGAGCGAGCAGG